rnacentral:lncRNA from 1 species
GCCCACAGCGUACCUGUGGUGUUUGGUGAGAGUUGGAAGAAACACCUCAAUGGAGAGUUCGGAAAACUGUAUUCUAUAAAACGAACGGGAUUUGUUGCAGAAGAAAGAAAACAUUACACUGUUUAUCCUCCCCAACACCAAGUCUUCACCUGGACCCAGAUGUGUGACAUAGGAGGUGUGGAGGUUGUCAUCCUGGGACAGGAUCCAUAUCACAGACCCUAUCAAGCUCACGAAGCUGCUUUAGUGUCCAAAGGCCUGUGCGAUCUCUGCCUAGUUUGGAAAACAUGUAUGAAGAGCUGCCUACAGACAGAUGGUUUUGAUCAUCCUGGCCAUGGAGAUUUAUCUGGGUGGGCCAAACAAGGUGUUCUAUUCACCGUCUUCACUGUGCAGAGCCAUCAAGCCAAUUCUCCUGAGAGAGGCUGGGAGCAUUUGCCAAUGCAGUUGUGUCCUGGCUAAAUCCGAACUGAAUGGCCUUGUCUUCUUGCUCUGGGCUCUUAGAAGGAGGGCAUUGCCACUGAUAGGAGGUGGCAGUGUGUACUGCAGGUGGCUCAUCUCUUCUGAUUGUUGGUGUAUAGAGUGUUCUUUGGAUGUAGACACUUAUUCCAAGACCAAUGAGCUGCUGCAGAAGUCCAGCCAGAAGCUCACAGAGUAGAAGGAGCUGUGAUCCUCAACUGA